AUUUAACGCUGGCGGCAGGCCUAACACAUGCAAGUCGAGCGAGCGGCGGACGGGUGAGUAAUGCCUGGGAAUUGCCCAGUCGAGGGGAAUAACAGUUGGAAACGACUGCUAAUACCGCAUACGAUUGGAUUGCGCAGGUGGGGUAAGCUAGUUGGUGGGGUAAUGGCUCACUAAGGCGACGAACCCUAGCUGGUCUGAGAGGAUGGUCAGCACCACUGGAACUGAGACACGGUCCAGACUCCUACGGGAGGCAGCAGUGGGGAAUAUUGCACAAUGGGGGAAACCCUGAUGCAGCCAUGCCGCGUGUGUGAAGAAGGCCUUCGGUUUGUAAAGCACUUUCUGCGAGAAGGCGUUACUCGCAGAAGAAGCACCGGCUAACUACGUGCCAGCAGCCGCGGUAAUAC
rnacentral:rRNA from 1 species